rnacentral:lncRNA from 1 species
UGGGGAGCUAGCUGCAUGACUUUUUUAGUUUUGAGGUAAGUGACUUGAACUACAUACUUAUCUAUUAGUAGACAUAUAUAGCAACGGUAGUACUUGUUUUAGAAUUAAUGUUGUGUGUAAUUUAUGUGAUCCACGGCGUUGUAGACAUUGGGUCAGAUUUCUUUUUUGGUGUUUUGGUUGUUCAGAAACAAAGUCCUCAAUGAGGAGGUUUUUUCUAGUUUGGUUGUAGGAAUAACAAGCAGGUGAAUGAUGAACUCCGUCUUCUUGAACUGUGUUCCUUUUCUUGACAUUAGUUAUUGAGGUGAAGUAUGAUCCAUUUAAAGUUUGGGAUCAGUUCUUGAUCCCUGUUUUUCUCUUCGAGAAUGUAGGUAUUGCUUGGGAAAUUAUUAUCUACUUUUUACAAGCUUGAACUGGGAAGGCUUGAAUAAGUUCAAGUGAACCGCUUCAAAAUUAACAUCAUUCUUUGCUUUUUAAGGAG